UAGUAAUAAAAAAAAUCAGAAAAACAGUUUUGUGCCUCCAUUCAUCAUCUUCUUCAUGGUCCUAAACCCUAACUCACCGUUAGAAGGAAAAGACCAGAUUUUCUCCCUCCUUCUCUCAAAAUUUCGAGCAACAGUGUUAUUCUCCCUCUACCAUUUGGAACCCUCUCUUUUCUCUGAAGUUUUAGAAGAUCACAGCAAGCAAAAUCAAUUUUUGAUUUCCCCCGAAAUUUCAAAACACAAAUGAACAACAAUGGCUUCUCCUUACUACACUCGAUUCCUUAAACAAGCAACAACAAUGCCCUCUUGUUGUUUGGAAAUUUUGAAGCCCCAUUCUCUCAAUCUUGUUCUUCUUCCUCUAAUUUUUCGCUGGAACACAUAGUCCUGACCUCCUUCUUUGCCUUCGAUUUUCGAAGGAACAGGGCAAGCUUCAACAGAUUUCAAAUGUGACAAGCCAAGCCAAUAGCAGGCGUGUUCAGUAGCCUUUACCGACACCUAAAUUCUUCAAGGAAGGAGACGUUUUUGCUAUGGAUUCCUUCUAGUUGAUAGCGGUGAACUGGAUUCAAUACCUUGAAGUGACGUUAUCGGUGAGUAGUAGCAGUCCCUUAAAGGGUCUGGUCGGACUACUUUUCUGAAAUAGUUUUAAUAAAAUUAUUUUGAAAUUGUUAAUUGCUGAGACAAAUUCGUUGUGAUUUAUUAUGAUGAUAUUGUUAUAUGGGUCAAUGGAUCGGGCUUACGAGCUAGCCGUUGACAGAGCGGUGGGACAUCCUCUCCUACUACUUGUUUUUGAGGCGAGUUGUCAUUCAGAUAUUGACUAGCUUCAUCCGAGAGCGACAUAGCCUUGGAACUAUGGGGCACCAAUCAAACUAGACUCCCUGUGCGCACAAAGAUCUAGGAAAAUGAUGUUGCUUUUAAUUCUUUUAUUUUGAUUUCAUAAUUGUUUUGUUUUGGAUUGCUUCUGCUCAUUCAGUUAAAUUUAACUCCCUGUUGUUUUCAUCUUUAAGAUUUCCUACAGAUUGGUACCGGCCGGGAAUGAAAGGAUAUUAGAGGUGAUUAGAGUAUAUUUGGAUAUCAUUUUUGAUUUGAGUAUGUAUAGAAAUUAUAGUUUGUAUGUUGGGCAUUAGUAGGUGUGUAGUGGGUUUGGUUACGUUAACUAUUUUAGACUUUCAUAGUUGGUUGUAUGAUUAUUUUGGACUUUUGGUUUAGCUGUUUGGAUUUAAGAUUAGUUGUUGUACUUAUGUUUUAGAUCUUGUGAGCCUUUUACGAGCUAUGAUUGAGAUUUGAGUUCUUUGGGUUAGUAAA